CUACGGGCGGCACCAGUAGGGAAUAUUGCGCAAUGGAGGAAACUCUGACGCAGCAACGCCACGUGGGUGAGGAAGGUUUUCGGAUUGUAAAGCCCUGUUAAUGGGGAAAAAUAGUAUUAUGGUAAACAAUCAUAGUAUUUGAUGGUACUCAUAGAGGAAGCACCGGCUAACUCCGUGCCAGCAGCCGCGGUAAUACGGAGGGUGCAAGCGUUGUUCGGAUUUACUGGGCGUAAAGCGCGCGUAGGCGGCUUUUUAAGUCAGGUGUGAAAUCUCGGGGCUUAACCCCGAAACUGCGCCUGAAACUGGAGAGCUAGAAUCUUCGAGGGGGUUGGGGAAUUUCAUGUGUAGGAGUAAAAUCCGUAGAGAUAUGAAGGAACACCAGAGGCGAAGGCGCCAACCUGGAGGAGUAUUGACGCUGAGGUGCGAAGGCGUGGGGAGCAAACAGGAUUAGAUACCCGGGUAGUC
rnacentral:rRNA from 1 species